UACAGAGGGUGCGAGCGUUGUCCGGAAUCACUGGGCGUAAAGGGCGCGUAGGCGGUCCGCUAAGCGUGUGGUGAAAGCUCGGGGCUCAACCCCGAGUCGGCCAUGCGAACUGGUGGACUGGAGCCUGUCAGAGGCAAGCGGAAUUCCGGGUGUAGCGGUGGAAUGCGUAGAGAUCCGGAAGAACACCGGUGGCGAAGGCGGCUUGCUGG
rnacentral:rRNA from 1 species